rnacentral:rRNA from 1 species
UAAGUUAGAAAGGGCGCACGGUGGAUGCCUUGACACUAGGAGUCGAUGAAGGACGGGACUAACGCCGAUAUGCUUCGGGGAGCUGUAAGUAAGCUUUGAUCCGAAGAUUUCCGAAUGGGGAAACCCACCAUACGUAAUGGUAUGGUAUCCUUAUCUGAAUACAUAGGGUAAGGAAGACAGACCCAGGGAACUGAAACAUCUAAGUACCUGGAGGAAGAGAAAGCAAAUGCGAUUUCCUGAGUAGCGGCGAGCGAAACGGAACAUAGCCCAAACCAAGAGGCUUGCCUCUUGGGGUUGUAGGACAUUCUAUACGGAGUUACAAAGGAACGAGGUAGACGAAGCGACCUGGAAAGGUCCGUCGUAGAGGGUAACAACCCCGUAGUCGAAACUUCGUUCUCUCUUGAAUGUAUCCUGAGUACGGCGGAACACGUGAAAUUCCGUCGGAAUCUGGGAGGACCAUCUCCCAAGGCUAAAUACUCCCUAGUGAUCGAUAGUGAACCAGUACCGUGAGGGAAAGGUGAAAAGCACCCCGGAAGGGGAGUGAAAGAGAUCCUGAAACCGUGUGCCUACAAAUAGUCAGAGCCCGUUAACGGGUGAUGGCGUGCCUUUUGUAGAAUGAACCGGCGAGUUACGAUCCCGUGCGAGGUUAAGCUGAAGAGGCGGAGCCGCAGCGAAAGCGAGUCUGAAUAGGGCGUUUAGUACGUGGUCGUAGACCCGAAACCAGGUGAUCUACCCAUGUCCAGGGUGAAGUUCAGGUAACACUGAAUGGAGGCCCGAACCCACGCACGUUGAAAAGUGCGGGGAUGAGGUGUGGGUAGCGGAGAAAUUCCAAUCGAACCUGGAGAUAGCUGGUUCUCCCCGAAAUAGCUUUAGGGCUAGCCUUAAGUGUAAGAGUCUUGGAGGUAGAGCACUGAUUGGACUAGGGGUCCUCAUCGGAUUACCGAAUUCAGUCAAACUCCGAAUGCCAAUGACUUAUCCUUAGGAGUCAGACUGCGAGUGAUAAGAUCCGUAGUCAAAAGGGGAAACAGCCCAGACCGCCAGCUAAGGUCCCAAAGUGUGUAUUAAGUGGAAAAGGAUGUGGAGUUGCUUAGACAACUAGGAUGUUGGCUUAGAAGCAGCCACCAUUUAAAGAGUGCGUAAUAGCUCACUAGUCGAGUGACUCUGCGCCGAAAAUGUACCGGGGCUAAAUACACCACCGAAGCUGCGGAUUGAUACCAAUGGUAUCAGUGGUAGGGGAGCGUUCUAAGGACAGUGAAGUCAGACCGGAAGGACUGGUGGAGUGCUUAGAAGUGAGAAUGCCGGUAUGAGUAGCGAAAGACGGGUGAGAAUCCCGUCCACCGAAUGCCUAAGGUUUCCUGAGGAAGGCUCGUCCGCUCAGGGUUAGUCAGGACCUAAGCCGAGGCCGACAGGCGUAGGCGAUGGACAACAGGUUGAUAUUCCUGUACCACCUCUUUAUCGUUUGAGCAAUGGAGGGACGCAGAAGGAUAGAAGAAGCGUGCGAUUGGUUGUGCACGUCCAAGCAGUUAGGCUGAUAAGUAGGCAAAUCCGCUUAUCGUGAAGGCUGAGCUGUGAUGGGGAAGCUCCUUAUGGAGCGAAGUCUUUGAUUCCCCGCUGCCAAGAAAAGCUUCUAGCGAGAUAAAAGGUGCCUGUACCGCAAACCGACACAGGUAGGCGAGGAGAGAAUCCUAAGGUGUGCGAGAGAACUCUGGUUAAGGAACUCGGCAAAAUGACCCCGUAACUUCGGGAGAAGGGGUGCUUUCUUAACGGAAAGCCGCAGUGAAUAGGCCCAAGCGACUGUUUAGCAAAAACACAGCUCUCUGCGAAGCCGUAAGGCGAAGUAUAGGGGGUGACACCUGCCCGGUGCUGGAAGGUUAAGGAGAGGGGUUAGCGUAAGCGAAGCUCUGAACUGAAGCCCCAGUAAACGGCGGCCGUAACUAUAACGGUCCUAAGGUAGCGAAAUUCCUUGUCGGGUAAGUUCCGACCCGCACGAAAGGUGUAACGAUUUGGGCACUGUCUCAACCAGAGACUCGGUGAAAUUAUAGUACCUGUGAAGAUGCAGGUUACCCGCGACAGGACGGAAAGACCCCGUGGAGCUUUACUGUAGCCUGAUAUUGAAUUUUGGUACAGUUUGUACAGGAUAGGCGGGAGCCUUUGAAACCGGAGCGCUAGCUUCGGUGGAGGCGCUGGUGGGAUACCGCCCUGACUGUAUUGAAAUUCUAACCUACGGGUCUUAUCGACCCGGGAGACAGUGUCAGGUGGGCAGUUUGACUGGGGCGGUCGCCUCCUAAAGUGUAACGGAGGCGCCCAAAGGUUCCCUCAGAAUGGUUGGAAAUCAUUCGUAGAGUGCAAAGGCAUAAGGGAGCUUGACUGCGAGACCUACAAGUCGAGCAGGGACGAAAGUCGGGCUUAGUGAUCCGGUGGUUCCGCAUGGAAGGGCCAUCGCUCAACGGAUAAAAGCUACCCCGGGGAUAACAGGCUUAUCUCCCCCAAGAGUCCACAUCGACGGGGAGGUUUGGCACCUCGAUGUCGGCUCAUCGCAUCCUGGGGCUGUAGUCGGUCCCAAGGGUUGGGCUGUUCGCCCAUUAAAGCGGUACGCGAGCUGGGUUCAGAACGUCGUGAGACAGUUCGGUCCCUAUCCGUCGUGGGCGUAGGAAAUUUGAGAGGAGCUGUCCUUAGUACGAGAGGACCGGGAUGGACGCACCGCUGGUGUACCAGUUGUUCUGCCAAGGGCAUAGCUGGGUAGCUAUGUGCGGAAGGGAUAAGUGCUGAAAGCAUCUAAGCAUGAAGCCCCCCUCAAGAUGAGAUUUCCCAUAGCGUAAGCUAGUAAGAUCCCUGAAAGAUGAUCAGGUUGAUAGGUUCGAGGUGGAAGCAUGGUGACAUGUGGAGCUGACGAAUACUAAUAGAUCGAGGACUUAACCA